UCUUAUGGCUGGCGAGUGGCGGACGGGUGAGGAAUACAUCGGAAUCUACUUUUUCGUGGGGGAUAACGUAGGGAAACUUACGCUAAUACCGCAUACGACCUACGGGUGAAAGCAGGGGAUCUUCGGACCUUGCGCGAUUGAAUGAGCCGAUGUCGGAUUAGCUAGUUGGCGGGGUAAAGGCCCACCAAGGCGACGAUCCGUAGCUGGUCUGAGAGGAUGAUCAGCCACACUGGAACUGAGACACGGUCCAGACUCCUACGGGAGGCAGCAGUGGGGAAUAUUGGACAAUGGGCGCAAGCCUGAUCCAGCCAUACCGCGUGGGUGAAGAAGGCCUUCGGGUUGUAAAGCCCUUUUGUUGGGAAAGAAAUCCAGCCGGCUAAUACCUGGUUGGGAUGACGGUACCCAAAGAAUAAGCACCGGCUAACUUCGUGCCAGCAGCCGCGGUAAUACGAAGGGUGCAAGCGUUACUCGGAAUUACUGGGCGUAAAGCGUGCGUAGGUGGUUGUUUAAGUCUGUUGUGAAAGCCCUGGGCUCAACCUGGGAACUGCAGUGGAAACUGGACAACUAGAGUGUGGUAGAGGGUAGCGGAAUUCCCGGUGUAGCAGUGAAAUGCGUAGAGAUCGGGAGGAACAUCCAUGGCGAAGGCAGCUACCUGGACCAACACUGACACUGAGGCACGAAAGCGUGUGGAGCACACAGGAUUAGAUACCCUGGUAGUCCACGCCCUAAACGAUGCGAACUGGAUGUUGGGUGCAAUUUGGCACGCAGUAUCGAAGCUAACGCGUUAAGUUCGCCGCCUGGGGGAGUACGGUCGCAAGACUGAAACUCAAAGGAAUUGACGGGGGCCCGCACAAGCGGUGGAGUAUGUGGUUUAAUUCGAUGCCACGCGAAGAACCUUACCUGGCCUUGACAUGUCGAAGAACUUUCCACGAGAUGGAAUUGGUGGCCUUCGGGGAACUCCGAACACAAGGGGCUGCAUGGCUGUUCUUCAGCUCCGUGUCCUUAAAAUGUUGGGGUUAAGUCCCCGCACCGACCUCCACCCCUGGGCCUUAGUUGGCCACCACGGAAAGGGUGGGGAACUCUAAGGGGAACCGCCCGGGGGACAAACCCGGAAGGAAAGCGAGGAGAU
rnacentral:rRNA from 1 species